GUAGUCAUAUGCUUGUCUCAAAGAUUAAGCCAUGCAUGUCUAAGUAUAAGCAAUCUAUACUGUGAAACUGCGAAUGGCUCAUUAAAUCAGUUAUCGUUUAUUUGAUAGUACCCUACUACAUGGAUACCUGUGGUAAUUCUAGAGCUAAUACAUGCGCAAAACCCCGACUUCGGAAGGGGUGUAUUUAUUAGAUAAAAAACCAAUGCCCUUCGGGGCUCCUUGGUGAUUCAUAAUAACUUCACGAAUCGCAUGGCCUUGCGCCGGCGAUGGUUCAUUCAAAWUUCUGCCCUAUCAACUUUCGAUGGUAGGAUAGUGGCCUACCAUGGUGGCAACGGGUAACGGGGAAUUAGGGUUCGAUUCCGGAGAGGGAGCCUGAGAAACGGCUACCACAUCCAAGGAAGGCAGCAGGCGCGCAAAUUACCCAAUCCCGAUACGGGGAGGUAGUGACAAUAAAUACUGAUACAGGGCUCUUUUGGGUCUUGUAAUUGGAAUGAGAACAAUCUAAAUCCCUUAACGAGGAACAAUUGGAGGGCAAGUCUGGUGCCAGCAGCC
rnacentral:rRNA from 1 species